UACGUAGGGGGCGAGCGUUGUCCGGAUUUACUGGGCGUAAAGGGCGCGUAGGCGGUCACGACAAGUCAGUUGUGAAAUCUCCGGGCUUAACUCGGAACGGUCAACUGAUACUGUCGGACUAGAGUGCAGAAGGGGCAACUGGAAUUCUCGGUGUAGCGGUGAAAUGCGUAGAUAUCGAGAGGAACACCUGCGGCGAAGGCGGGUUGCUGGGCUGACACUGACGCUGAGGCGCGAAAGCUAGGGGAGCGAACGGG
rnacentral:rRNA from 1 species